CCACUGAGCAAGGGCAGGGAUCGAACCCGCAACCUCAUGGUUCCUAGUCACAUUCGUUAACCACUGCACCACCACGGGAACUCCAGGGCAUCAGAUUUGUAUAGUUUCCCCUCUUUAUGAUCUGACGCAGUUUAUGAAAGAUAGGGAUGGUUUCCUCCUUAAAGAUUUGGUAGAAUUCAAUGUAAAACAGUCUGACUACAUUGUUUGGAAUUUUUUGGUUGUUUUGUUUUGCAGAUAGUUUUUAAACUACUUUCACAAGGCAAAUUGUUUAAUAGUGUUAGGUCCAUUCUUGAUAUCUUUUUAUUCAUUCAGUCUUGGUAUUACAUUUUAUCUAAGCUUUCAAAUAUAUUGGCACAAGGUCAAUCAUAGUUAUCUCAUAAUUUUAAAAUCUAUAUUGUAAAUAUAAUUAAUUCUCAGUUUUCACUUCCAUUAUUUUGUUUUUAUGAGUUCUCUUUUAUUUAACCAAUAUUUCUUAAGGAUUGCCUAUUUUUUUUUACUUUUUUUUCCCAAAAAAGCCAGCUUUUUAAGUAGUUUCAUCUCUUUUCUCUUGUUUCAUUAAUUUUACUAUUCUUGUUCUUAUUUCCUUUUUUCCCCUAUUUCCAUUAAGUUAUCCCAUUACUCUUUCAUAACUUCUUGUCUUUUUGUUGUUGUUGUUGUUGUUGCUAUUUCUUGGGCCGCUCCCGCGGCAUAUGGAGGUUCCCAGGCUAGGGGUCGAAUCGCCAGGGCCACAGCAACGCGGGAUCCAAGCCGCGUCUGCAACCUACACCACAGCUCACGGCAACGCCAGAUCCUUAACCCACUGAGCAAGGGCAGGGACCGAACCCGCAACCUCAUGGUUCCUAGUCAGAUUCGUUAACCACUGUGCCACGACGGGAACUCCUUUCAUAACUUCUUAAUUAGACCCUUACUUCCUUAAUUUCAGCAUUCUCUAUUUCUAAUAUUCAUCAGUGGUGGUUUAACAAGGAGAUUCAGGGGAUAUGGAUAUUUAAAAAUGUGUGCUACUUAUAUAAUUAAUAAACAGUAUCUUAAAAAGAAAUGUAAUAACUACCACGUCAAACGUAAUAGUUCAGGGAUGGUGUAUCACUUAAGAUAAGGCAAGCAGUACGUUAAAAGUCAAUGAAUGACAAUAAAAAUGAAAAUAAUAGUAAAGUUGACCAUUGUUCCAUGUUUGGCUGAAAAGACAGUGACUCCUCCAGUUCAAGGUGCACAAUUCAAGAUAAGAGCAUGGAGUAAUAGCUGUUAACCAUGCAGUUCAAAUCAUCCUUAUGCUAUUAUUUAUUUUUUUACCUGCUCGAAUUAUUAGUUUUUGGAAUGGUAUGUUAAAACCUCCUGCCCUAAAUGUAUUUGCCAAUCCCUCCUUAUAAUUCUGGCAAUGGCUACAUUAUACAGUUUGAAUAUGAAUUGCUAGGUGUAAUUCAGCUCAAGAAUUAUUUUAUAUUCCUCAUGAAUUAUUCCUUUAGUAAUUAAAGAAUGCUCUUUACCUCCAAAAAUAUCUUUCUCUUGGGUCUUCUUUGGCUGGCAUUAGGAUGGCCACCCUGGCUUCCUCUUAGCUCUCAUUUGCUUGGUAUGUAUUUUUCCAUCCCUUUACUGUCAACCUUGGUCUGUCAUUAAGUUUUAGUAUUCUUUCCAUCACAUCAGGCUGUGCUUUUCCUGGUUCAUUCUCCUCCACCAAGGUCUUUUGUAGUCCUGAGUUCUGGAAUGCUAAUGUAUCCACAUGACACACAUAUCCAAGUGUCCAGAUGGAAAAAAGAAGUCUUUAAGGGAAGUUUGGAUGUUCAUGAGAGCAAGUUACAGCCCCCUGGUUUGCAUCUGGAGACGGGAGGUGGAAAGCCUGAGCUCCGCAGACUCCUGCCUGCCCGGGGAGUUCACGUACAGCUCGUGGGCAGUGGCCAAACUCGCCCCAGGAAGAUCCUGGUUCUGAAGAUGGGACACGUGCAGUUCUGCCUUCUGCUAUUUACAGCUCCACUCAGAUGAGGCUGCACCUUCUUGGGACAGAACGAGAAGGUCUAAGCCUCAGGAAACAAUGUAAACCACUGUGCCAUGGAGCAAGUGCCAUCCUCCCCCGUGGAAGCUUCCUCCCAGGCUCGGGCAACAAGGGGCCUGCUCCCAGGCCCUGAUGGGGCUGGAGGUCUUCUAAAACAGCCUAUGAGUUCUGUCUCCACACACUGCUCUGCGUUAAGUGAGCAGACGAACCAUUCACUUUGCCUUUCCCAAAACAUCCAGGCAACAUUGAGGUUCCAAACAUAGUCUACCUUCCUGUCUCAGAUCUGCAAAAGAAAACCCAAAAACUGUAUCCACAGGAUGGGAAAUGUGUGCCUGGAGGAAUGAAGGUGGGAAUGCCCACCCUUUGGUGGGAGGAGGGAACAGUGGCUCAGCUCCUAGGGAGGAGCUCCACCAAUCAGGGACCAGGGAUGCUAACCAAGCAUCCGUCUAGGGUGGGACUGAGGGGACCCCGCCCUGGACUGUAUCCCUUGAGAGGCGGUGACCAUAGAGGGAGUGGGGGACACCAUGCUUCUAGUCCUGCAUCCACCAUUUCUUCUAUCUGGGCAUCAGUCUCUUCCUCUAUUCCUGAUCGCUUUGCCCCAUCAUCUCCUGGCCCCCAUGGAUAAUUUCCCGUCACUGACAGCAACUUGGGCAAAAGUCACUGCCAGGGUGUCAGGCCUCCAAGUGCGAUUUCCAGGGUGGUUUCCUGCUGCUUCCUGCUGCUCUGUUGCUUCUUGCAGGAGGUUGGGGACUCUCAAGGUAGGCACCCCUCAAGUUGCUCUCUGGACUUCCCAGGCCAAAGAUCAGAGAGGCUUUGCAGCCUGAACACCCCCCACCUCACCUCACCCCCAUCCAGCCCCACGUCUUCCCUGAGUCUCUGAGUGGCAUCUCCUGGUGGUCCUGCACCGACAAGGGGGUGGGUUGUCCCUCGAUUUGCUGGACGUCCGCAGGGGAGGGAUGCAGACCCACAGCCCUGAAUGGACUCAGCACAUGUGGCUGGACAUGCGGGGACCCAGUGGACUGAGAGCUGAGGAGGAGCUCUUCCAUCCAGGAGACAUCCAGGCAGCCCCAGGGUUUCCCAUCCCGUCUCCUGAAGAAAUAGGAGAGGUAGUGGCUCCCUCUAGUGGUGCAGUCUGCAAUGGCAUGUGGGGGAUCCAUCCCUGGGCUGAGGAGCCUGGUCCAGAUUCUCACAUGUCAUCACAAACAAUAAGCACAGUAUUUGGAGAAAGUCCAUUUGUUCUGUUUUGGUUUUGUUUUUUUAACACCUCCAGCACAGGAGCCUAUGGCUGCAGAGACAAGCACUGGUGAUCUCUAGCUGCUGGCUUCAGGAUCAGCAACAAGGCUGAGUGCCCCAGAGCACUAACCUCCCGGCCAGACAUCCCUUCCCACCACUCCCUACCUUGCUGUGGACAAACUGUCUUCACUUCUCUGGGGCUUGUUUUCCUUCACGUGUUGGAGGAAGGAGUGGUGCAGGUCAGGUAGCUGAUCUCCAACCUUGAGAUGCUCUGAAAGGCUCCAACGUGCAAAAGAGCCCAGAGUCUAUGGCGCACCCAGGAAGAAGCGCAGGCUUGCUCAUAACCUCCUGUACCAGGAGGAAGCUUGACAGUCACCACACACUUCCACGAAGAGCACGGUGACCGUCUAACACAUCUCAUUCUCACCCGGUCCGCCGGUGACGGAUUCUGAGGUUGAGCUGAGGCAAAGAACACAGAGCCAAGGACUCCAGGCCAAGGGGUCAGUCAGGCUGCUGGCUUGUGCUUGGAGCCCUGAGAAAAGAUGCAGCAGUUCCACUCCUUCUUAGCAGGAAGCCGUGUCUACGGGACCCAUCUCAUAAUAGUCACAACAGUGAGAGCAGGUAACCCACACACAUGCUGCUGACAGCCAGGCUCCGCUAUGUAUUCACUCCUACCAUCAGAGCACCUAUAUCACUGGUGAUCCAUCAAAGAACCAUCCUUAUGUGGACACCAGACCAAUGACAGCCCGAGUUACUAGUUAUAAUAACUGCCUGCCGGCAGGUAGAGAUGCUCAAUGAGAAUUCAACCCACACGGAUCUCCCUAGGUAAGAGGAGAGGGCUCUCUCGCUUUCCAUCAUGUGCCUGGAAAUCAGUUUGCCCUCGGUUACGUGAUGGAGUUUAAAAUCUCAGAAUUAUAAGUGGGACGAGACAUUGGUCCAAUUCUGGAUUUCUCAGGUGAGGUGGGGACUGGAUUUCUCAAUGCGUGUCACCCAGGGAGUUUAGUGGCAGGACCUGGGCUAGGCUUCAGGUCUCCAGACUCUCAGCCCACAGCUCGUGAGCUGAAGGGUGGCCCAAAGACCUCCCCUAGGGCUCCCUGACCUUGGCCAGGGCAACCGAGCUUAGAGAGCAGUGUGGUCCUGACAGCAGCCUGAGGUGGGAGCUGCCUGGUAAAUCACCUUUCAGCUGCCUCACCUCAAAACAAAGCAAGUGUCACCCCGGAAGGGUGCAUUCCAAAGGCAGACGACGGCAGAGAGCAAGACAGUCAGAGGGCAGCCUGCGACAUCAGGCCUCCUGUCCCCCACCUGUGCACUCCAGACGAGGCCCCUGUGGCCCCCCUAGGAGCCGGGAUCGAGGUGUCCUCAGCCUCCCAUUGAUGUGUCUUCUUUUCCCAGACCGCUUCCAGCCUCCCUACGGGAACGGUCCACACACCCUGCUUUUCCUUCCCACUGUCUCUGCCUCAGGCUCUUCUGGUCUCCUGUGUCCCGCUCUGGUUGGGCCGCCUGGGAUGUGACAACACCUCGCCUGCUGUGUCCCAGCUGGAGCCAAGACUGGCCAUGUCCCCAGCCUUCCCAGGAGGAAACAGACUGGACUGCGUGAGGAAGACAGACAGCAGGGGCGACAGCAGCUGACACCUCCCUUGGCUUCUUGGAGGAAAGAAGGCGGGUUAGAGGCAGAGUCACGUGGUAUCUGGGGGCGGGGUCUCCGAGUGAGGCCCGCCCUGGGGAGGGGGUCGCCUGGCCUUGACACAGCCGCCGAGGGUGGUCCAGGCCCCCGGGUUUCUCUUUCCUCCACACAAGCUGGGAGUCUUCAUUCUUUCUCUCUGGUGUGUGUGUGUGUGUGUGUGUGUGUGUGUGAUGGCAGGGGUGCCUGACAACCACCCCCACUUGUAGGGAACAACACGUGAGUGUCAGAUGAUUUGUGCGUUAACAUAUAUUUUAACCAGAGCCAGCACUUCAUUCAUUCACAUCCUCACUCACUUAUGCACCAGACACUUUGUGGGCAGCAAGUCCAUGUCCAGUGCUCUGCAAGACAUCAAGUGGGCAGGUGUUGAGAACAUGGGCCCUGCUACUAAGGCUUCUGCAGUUUGGUGACAAAGUCCUGCCCGGCU
rnacentral:lncRNA from 1 species